rnacentral:lncRNA from 1 species
UUCAUAUUGUCAAGUACGGACUUUUUCUGAACUAUGUUUUCAAGGGAAUCUUGUUUUCCUCUCAUAUUCUCAGAAAAAUGCCAACAGACAAUUGCCUGCAGAAUGACAAAUGGCUCACAUGGCUUGUUGCUCCGCUUUGUUGCUUGGAUCUGAGUGCCCUGUGAUCUGAGGUUUAUGUCUCUUGGCUGCCUCCAUGUCUCACUGUGGUUUUAUAUCCCCUGGCUUUUUGGCAGAAACAAAACUUUUAGAUUUGUCCUCAACUGAAAAUGUUUCAGCUGUGUGUGCAGGCGUCUUCAUGCUAUAGAAGAAGGAAUGGAACUGUGAAUGGUGGGAAAGGCUGAAGGAAGUAAUGGAGACCACGAUGCAGAAGUAGGUGCUCUUGCAAAGCAGUCCCGGGACAGAUAAAGGAAGCAAAGGCAGAGAACCCCAACGCCUUCCCCAGCUCAGCCACUAGUUGGCUGUGUGAUCUCAGACAAGCCAAGCUCCAUCUCUGAGAUAUAGCUGCUUCAUUUGCAAAGUAAGAAGGUAGACGUGCAUGAUCAGCUGAAGAUGCUUCCUGCCUCAAUCCAGGACACCUGCGGCUCCAGGUCAGAGAUGCACCUGCUAGUCCUGCCUCUACAGGACCCAACCCAUCAGUUCCUAGCUUGUCCUUCUGGUGAGAAUUGAGCACACUAUACUGUGGACAUAAAGACAAAAACCAGCAAGAAACUGAGCUCGGCUCCCUGGCUCACAUAGACAUGGAACAGAGAUCACAUCUGUGAGUGGAGGAGCCAGACUUUUCAUAUAAGCACAUGUAAAACUUUUGAAGUUGGCUGAUCCAAGAAUAGAUUCAAAUUCUUCAGCCAAGAGUCUAGACCAACUGACUUUUUCCACUUCAUUGCCUAGUUGACCCUUUGGGCCCGGAGCUCACGCACGCAGUUGAAGAUGUCCACCACCCCUUCAUUCUCGGCCAUGUCAAGCAUGGUGUCAAUGGCAAUGAAGCAGCCAGUCCGCCCAGCCCCAGCACUGGAAGAGAGCAAAUGGGUUGACGGAUGGAAGCAAAGAAGGAGAGGAGAGAGAACAGAGGGGAGAUGAAUGACAGGACAGAAACGAGAGUCCUCUGAGCUGUCCCCAAGACAGAGAGUGGUUGGUGGAGCACCACGUUCAAAGGCCGGCAUCUGGCUCCACCUGCAGCUGUUUUCGCAGGAUCGUGAAGCAAGAGUGUCAUGAAACUGGAGCAGCUGACCGUCCGGAGACCCUUGUCAGGGAUCAAGUUUCUUGAUACAUACUUACUUGAUUUCUGGUCACUAGUGGCUUCUUUAGGAGAAUCUCAGACCAAGUAUAAAAUGGUAGGGGAACUCAACGAGACUCUAUGGGCCUUGGCCAGCCCUUUCUAGAUCAGUGCUGGGCUCUGAAACAUCAGUGCUGACCAAGAGGCACGUAAGACAUGUGCCUUACACAUGUGCAGUUUUGGAUGGGAAGGCCGGGCAGCCUGUCAAGGAGGCCCCCUUCCGCUGCGUUUUCACAUCUUGCCUUUCUCAUGGAAACAAGUGUCUUUGUCUAACAAUGUAGAUGUCAAAAGACACACAAAGAGGAAGAGAGAUGGAACAAGACAAAAAAGCAAUAUUGGCUCAUGGUAAAUCCAAGGGGCACAGGCCAGUGCGGACCACUACCUACAACAAUUUGGAAAGUACACCCAUUGGAAGCAGAGUCUUCAUUCAUGAGAAACUUUCAUGGUUUGAAUGAAGUCUGACUUAAGUUUGCUUCAGAACCUACUCCCCAAAAUCCAGAUGCGGGGACUCAAGAGACUUGGCCUCUGUGUCUGGGAGGGAGUAUAGGGGGGGUCACUCGUGUUUUUUUCUUCAAUGUUCAUAUUCACCAUGCUUUAGUAUAAAGAAUCAGCCCAAUUUGGUUCCAAAUUUUGGAACAACUAUCAAUCAAUCAGCGGUGACCAAGUUGCCUAGUGUCCGUUUGUUUGUUAGCUUCAGAUUUCUGAUGCUUUUAACAUACCUCCCUGCAGGGUCCUUGUGAGGACAAAGCUGUGUUUAUUUCAUUUCAGCAUCACAUAGUAAUUGAACACAGGAUAUUUGAAAAGACCCCCUAGGAUUAAAUCCUGGCUCUAUUACUUAUUAGCUGCAUGACCUCGGGCAAAUGACUUAACCUCUCUGGGUUUCAAUACUCAUCUAUAAAAUGAUGUUGAUAAUAAUUAAAAUACUCACUCAUCUAUAAAAUGAUGUUGAUAAUAAUUAAUAGAUCCACCUCACAGCAUUAAUAGCACAAUAUGUAUAAAUUGGAUGAAAUUACAAUUAAAAUGCAUAAUGCAUACAAAUUGCUUUGUGCCUGGAUACAUAGCCAUUUUUUAUUGAGAAAUUAUUACUAUUAUAUUCAACAAAUAUUUAUUGAAAAUCUAAGAUGCAGUAGAUGCUGGUAUUAGGAGUGGGAAUAUGAAAACAAACAAACAUUGUUCCUGUCCUGAAGGAUUAAUAAAUAAUCUGGGGAGGGGGAGAAAGAAAACAUUAAGAGGAGGCAGAGAAUAAUGAUAUAUUAGAGUGCUUACUAUAUGUCAGGCAUUCUCUCUUAGGCACUUAGCCAACCCAUUUGGUAAUAAUUUUCAGAAUGGCCCCAGGAGUGGGUACCACUCUGCUCAGAUGCAUUAAGAUGACCUGCUAAGGAGACACAUACCGGCGUAGAGCCAUCAUGCGCCGAAGUCCUGAUGAUAAACAAACAUUUGCCAUUGUCUUUCUUUCUUUCUCCCUAACCCUUGAUCUGGGUGCUCUUUGGGAUAUAGAGAUGGGGGGCAUUAAUGAUCCAUUGCCCUUUGAUUGCUAUGAGAUAUAAAGCAAAGCAGAAAAUACAUGCAAAACAUUUAGAGAGUCCAGGAUUACCUCCUCAUCCUCACUUGCCUUAUCUGUGAAAUGGGGUUGUGUAGCUACUAUUGCUGGGAAG